UACAGAGGGGGCAAGCGUUGUUCGGAAUUACUGGGCGUAAAGGGCGCGUAGGCGGCCUCUUAAGUCGAACGUGAAAUCCCCGGGCUCAACCCGGGAACUGCGUCCGAUACUGGGGGGCUUGAAUCCGGGAGAGGGAUGUGGAAUUCCAGGUGUAGCGGUGAAAUGCGUAGAUAUCGUAAGGAAGACCAGUGGCGAAGGCGGGUCUCUGGACAGUUCCUGACGCUGAGGCACGAAGGCCAGGGGAGCAAACGGG
rnacentral:rRNA from 1 species